CAUCACUCGGCUAGUAGCAAGGUAACGAGAGUUAGCAGCAGGCUGAGCUACUUGAAAACUUUGGUGGCUUUUGCAGAGCUACAGGAAGAACUUUGGCUUUUGGAACACUGGACUAACCAUGUCAGGAUAACAUACUCCCUUGGAUUAUAGUCAUAUCGGACUCGCAAGACCAGACUCCAACACGGGCUGAAAAUUUGAAAUGGGACCUGACACUCUUGGACACAGAUGUCGGCUACGGCAGCGGCUUCAAAUACGCUUUGGUGACCAUAUUUCUAAUCGAGAGUUGUGCGAACGAGCCAGACAAACCAGCUGGGAGGAGGACGGAAGCACCCCUUCUCCAUCCGCGUUCAGUUGCUAAAUACUGAUUCACCCCGUAGUGUGGUGUUUUCCAUAGCUGUUCCUUGCUCCUGUAUCACAACAUAUCAAGGCUGCCAAGUAAAUGAAGAAUGAAUCACCGCACACUGGUCAACAGCAGACAGGGUCCUUCCACAACCACAUACUUAUGCCAGUAAAAGCCACAGCUUUUCUCCUCCAAUCCAAGAAGCCUGGACUGCAGUCACCAUCUCAACACACCAACCAAGAGAAAGGCGGAUGGCUCAAUUCAGUAUGUAGUUCUGCAAAUAUUCUCAAAGGUCUUCACAGCCCCCCAUGGUGCUGAAUGCAUUUACAUUUAUUUGUGUAAGGUAAAAACAAUGCUGAUUACAGAACAUAACUAGGGCCAUGAAUGAAAUUUGAGGUAGCAGCCAGUCAUCACCUGAUGGUGAGAGGUGGUCCUAAGAUCAGAGAGAAGCAGGUUGAAAUCCCAUCCUUACCUCUCCCUACCUACACCUCCAUCCACAGCUGAAGUGCACUUGAGCAAGGCACACAAGUCCACUUAGGUCCUGGGACUGUAGCCAACACCCUGUAAAACCCUGCUGUGUAAUUUGAUGUAAUGAAGCCCUAAUAUAGUCUAACACAUUGCUUGUUACAGAUAUGGAAAAUUGCACAAUAAAAGUUCCAGGACAUGAAGGCUGCAUACUGUGAACGUCAACCUUCAGGGCACCGUCCUGCGCAGAAGACUUUCUACCCUAAGAGGGAUGGCUGACCGCAGACACUCACAACCAGCACAGACGCCUCCAACCUCAGACUAGGCCCUUCACAGUUGCUGCACUUACCCACCUUCCCAGAGUUUUUGUGUGGUAAUGACAACUGUAAAUAUAGUAUAAAGUAAUGUAUCUAGUGUCAUGUGUAAUACAUUGUUUAAAUUGUCCAUACAUUUCAAUGACAGUAAAUAUUGGUGGACACAAUUUGACUGUGUGGCUUUUUUUUUAAAUUCAUUCUCUGACUGAAAAUGCAUGGUUACAUA